UAGGGAAUCUUCGGCAAUGGGGGGAACCCUGACCGAGCAACGCCGCGUGAGUGAAGAAGGUUUUCGGAUCGUAAAGCUCUGUUGUUAAGGAAGAACGAGUGUGAGAAUGGAAAGUUCAUACUGUGACGGUACUUAACCAGAAAGGGACGGCUAACUACGUGCCAGCAGCCGCGGUAAUACGUAGGUCCCGAGCGUUGUCCGGAUUUAUUGGGCGUAAAGCGCGCGUAGGCGGUUUUUUAAGUCUGAUGUGAAAGCCCCCGGCUCAACCGGGGAGGGUCAUUGGAAACUGGUUGACUUGAGUGCAGAAGAGGAGAGUGGAAUUCCAUGUGUAGCGGUGAAAUGCGUAGAUAUAUGGAGGAACACCAGUGGCGAAGGCGACUCUCUGGUCUGUAACUGACGCUGAGGCUCGAAAGCGUGGGUAGCAAACAGG
rnacentral:rRNA from 1 species